AUACAGAGGGUGCAAGCGUUAAUCGGAAUUACUGGGCGUAAAGCGCAUGUAGGCGGAUAUUUAAGUCGAUUGUGAAAUCCCCGGGCUCAACCUGGGAACUGCAGUCGAUACUGGAUGUCUAGAGUAUAGGAGAGGAAAGUGGAAUUCCCGGUGUAGCGGUGGAAUGCAUAGAUCUCGGGAGGAACAUCAGUGGCGAAGGCGACUUUCUGGCCUAAUACUGACGCUCAGAUGCGAAAGCGUGGGUAGCAAACAGGAUUAGAAACCCUAGUAGUCC
rnacentral:rRNA from 1 species